rnacentral:rRNA from 1 species
GACAGCAGUAGCCACGGGAAUACGAAGGGUGCAAGCGUUAAUCGGAAUUACUGGGCGUAAAGCGUGCGUAGGCGGUGAGUUAAGUCUGCUGUGAAAUCCCCGGGCUCAACCUGGGAAUGGCAGUGGAUACUGGCUCGCUAGAGUGUGUCAGAGGAUGGUGGAAUUCCCGGUGUAGCGGUGAAAUGCGUAGAGAUCGGGAGGAACAUCAGUGGCGAAGGCGGCCAUCUGGGACAACACUGACGCUGAGGCACGAAAGCGUGGGGAGCAAACAGGAUUAGAUACCCGCGUAGUCCCUGUCUCUUAUAC